rnacentral:lncRNA from 10 species
AUAAAUACAAAGGGCUUCCUCAGACUUUGUGGCAAAGCUUUUCUAUAUUGUAGGAACUGGUUUCUGGAAAUGAGGACCUGAACAUAGCUAUUCCCAUCUCUGUGUGUAUGUGUAUGUGUGUGUGCACACUCCUGCACAUUUUACAAGGCAAAUUGCAUUAGAAGAUUUUUCUAUUUCUAGGAUGGAGGGGAGGGUGUCCAAAUGUAUUACCCAUCCAUUAGGCAAUACAGAAGCCUGAAUUCUAACAAGCCUACCUUGGGAGCCAGGUAUCUUGGUAGUUCAAUCAUCAGGUUGGCCAACCCUUUCCGGUAUCUGAACCUCCAUGCCCUCAACUGUCAGAGGAAGAGGGUGAACUUGGGGGAUCUCCCAAGAGGAUGGUCUUGGAGGUUCUGGUUUCACCAAGAAUUCAGUAGCUGUGGUACUUCCCGGGUAUGAGAGAAUAAAGAACUUGUAAAGUGGAAUUGGCCAGCUUUCCACACCCCUACCUUCACUGCACACCAACCUGCACUGACAUCCAGAGGAGAACCAAGGGAAUUGUUUCCUCCUGGUUUGGACACAUUCCACUUGAAGCUCCUCCAGGCAUUGUGAAGCAGAAUUCCCUUCAGUAUAUGUGACUGCAAAGAGAUGAAUUUUUGAACUGGAGACUUUGAAAAUAAGGAUGAGCAUGUACAGAGUGAAAACAUGGGCCUCGAGUCAGCAGAUUGAAAUCCCUGACCUUGCUCUGUACGUCUCUAGCCACAUAAGCUAAGCAGGUCUCCCCUCACUUCUUUCAGCUUUGGUCUUCUCCUCUGCAAAAGGAGUUUCUUCACCCAUUUGUAUUGUUUUAACAGAAUUGCUGAGACUGGGUAAUUUAUAAAGAAUGGAAAUUUAUUUCUGACUGUUCUGGAGGCUGGGAGGUCCAAGAUCAUGGCACCAGCAGGUUCAGCUGUCUGGUGAGGGCUGCUCUCUGUUUACAAGAUGGCACCUUGAUGCUGCAUUUUUCAGAUGGGAGGACACUGUGUUCUCACAUCGAAGAAGGGAUGGGAGAGUGAAAAUGGGCCAAACUCUCAUCAAGCCCUUUUAUAGUGGCAUUAAUCUGUUUACCUAAACAUCUCCCAAAAAGGCCCCACCUCCCAACACUGUUGCACGGGGAAUUCUUUUCAACACAUGAAUUUUGGAGGGACCAUUUAGACCAUAGCCAGGACGAUGCAGAAUUUGAGGAUCUUAAGGUUCCCUCCAGCUCUAAAUACUUCAUAGAUUCUAAGUCCUGCAGCAGUACAUGAGAAGUCUAUUGAGACUCCCUAAACCAUUCUCAAGAAGGUAAAGGCCCAGAGCCCUGCCUACACAUGUGCUCAGAUGAUGCACUGAAAUGAGCACUAGAAAGGAGCCAGAAAACAAGUCCAAGUCCCACUUCUGCCUUGAACUCACUCUGUGUUUUUGAAAAAGUCAUGUUCUUUCUCUGAGCCUUCAUUGUCUCAGCUGUAAGAUGAAUGUUAGAAUAGAUCAUCUCUACUGUUCAUUUCAACUCUGCCAUUCUAGGGAUGUUGGAUGUCCUAGUGGCUGAGGGUUCAUAUUACAAUAAAUAUGAAAUUGAAACAUAAAACAGCACUCAAAACAUGAAGGAGAAAUUGGGAUUAAGAAAUGAGAAAAUACCUUUUGUCUAAGAGAGAGGAGUGAACCAAACACAAAUGCAAGCG